UGGAAGUCGAACGGAGAAUUUAUUUCGGUAAAUUCUUAGUGGCGAACGGGUGAGUAACGCGUAGGCAACCUGCCCUUUGGAUGGGGACAACAUUCCGAAAGGAGUGCUAAUACCGAAUGUGAUCCAUUUCUCGCAUGAGAGAUGGAUGAAAGAUGGCCUCUAUUUAUAAGCUAUCGCCAAAGGAUGGGCCUGCGUCUGAUUAGUUAGUUGGUGGGGUAACGGCUCACCAAGACGAUGAUCAGUAGCCGGUCUGAGAGGAUGAACGGCCACAUUGGGACUGAGACACGGCCCAAACUCCUACGGGAGGCAGCAGUGGGGAAUCUUCCGCAAUGGACGAAAGUCUGACGGAGCAACGCCGCGUGAGUGAUGAAGGUUUUCGGACUGUAAAACUCUGUUGUCAGGGACGAAGGUGCGAUCUGCGAAUAGUUGAUCGUAUUGACGGUACCUGACGAGGAAGCCACGGCUAACUACGUGCCAGCAGCCGCGGUAAUACGUAGGUGGCAAGCGUUGUCCGGAAUUAUUGGGCGUAAAGAGCAUGUAGGUGGGCUUUUAAGUCCGAUGUGAAAAUGCGGGGCUCAACCCCGUAUGGCAUUGGAUACUG
rnacentral:rRNA from 1 species